GGAAAAGACAUUACCUGUUGAAGGGUGGGCAGAUUACAUUUAUUGAUAGCAUCCUCAGUAGCAUACCUUGUUCGUCCAAUGGCAAGAUCUGGAGGAUGAGGUCAAGCACCACAUAAUAUGAGGUAAAAGAUCGAAAUUGUUUGCCAACUGUCAGAUUUUGGUUGGAAUGAGCAAUUGCAAGUGUAUUAGUAGAAGGGGUUGGGGGUUGGAAUGGCUUCCUUGAGAAUAUCCUGUUCUUAAGAGCUGAAUACUGGUCAAGUUGUUGGCUGGGACAUUUGCCUUUAAAUGAUACUGUCUGUUGUAUUUUGGCUGAAAACUGAGUUGCAUUGGCACCGGACGAAGAUACUCUAUAUCAGUUAUUUGCACAAACCGAGAACAAGGGGGCAUCAAAUCACCUCAGGCCCUCUGGUAAUUCUUAUCCCUGAAUUUUUAGCUUUAGAAGAACUACAAUCACCGAGAAAUGUAGCUUGUCAACAAGACCUACUGGGGGAUGCCUUUGUAGGAGGAAGGAUGAAUCUACUCGGACACUCUACCAAUGGACUUGUCUCUGGUGGUCCUCCUUGAGUUCAUGAUUUGAAUAGAAUCACUUGAAUCCAACUUUAACCCCCCAUACAUUCUCCAGUGAGAGAUAGAAGACUGGCAAACUUCUGCUUCCAUUUUAGGAAAUCAGAGUCGUCGUUCAGCCACUUGUUUCUUCACUUGUGAGACUGUCCGUGAUCUCUGCACAUGUUAUAUUCUCGUUUCAGCAUACCAUGUAACAAUCUUGAAACGCUUCGCACUUGUUCAGAGAAUGAUCUAUUAGUUAAUAUUUUGUGAUUAGCUCUACUUAACUAGUUUUGACAACGAUAUGAAAGUCUGAUAGUGUCUUGUCUUAGAUUGCUAGUAUUA